CCCAGACUCCUACGGGAGGCAGCAGUGGGGGAUAUUGCACAAUGGGGGGAACCCUGAUGCAGCGACGCCGCGUGGGUGAAGGAGCGUUUCGGCGCGUAAAGCCCUAUCGGCAGGGAAGAAGGAGGACGGUACCUGACUAAGAAGCCCCGGCUAACUACGUGCCAGCAGCCGCGGUAAUACGUAGGGGGCAAGCGUUAUCCGGAUUUACUGGGUGUAAAGGGGGCGCAGACGGCAGCGCAAGCCAGGAGUGAAAGCCCGGGGCCCAACCCCGGGACUGCUCUUGGAACUGCGCGGCUGGAGUGCAGGAGGGGCAGGCGGAAUUCCUGGUGUAGCGGUGAAAUGCGUAGAUAUCAGGAGGAACACCGGUGGCGAAGGCGGCCUGCUGGACUGCGACUGACGUUGAGGCCCGAAAGCGUGGGGAGCAAACAGGAUUAGAUACCCUUGUAU
rnacentral:rRNA from 1 species